GACAGAGGUCCCAAGCGUUAGGCGGAAUCACUGGGCUUAAAGCGUGUGUAGGUGGAUGCCUAAGUACCUUGUGAAAUCCCACGGCUUAACCGUGGAACUGCUUGGUAUACUGGGUGUCUUGAGUCAUCGUCAGGGCGAGGCGGAACAAAUGGAUGAAGCGGUGAAGUGCGUAGAUAUCAUUUGGAAUCGCCAAUGGUGAAAACAGCUCGCUGGGGGUGCACUGACACUGAGACACGAAAGCCAGGGGAGCGAACGGG
rnacentral:rRNA from 1 species